rnacentral:rRNA from 1 species
GACGAACGCUGGCGGCGUGCUUAACACAUGCAAGUCGAACGGUGAAGCGCCUUCCUUUUUGGUGGGUGUGGAUGAGUGGCGAACGGGUGAGUAACACGUGAGUAGCCUGCCCCCUUCUUCUGGAUAACCGCAUGAAAGUGUGGCUAAUACGGGAUAUUCUGGGCCUGUCGCAUGAUGGGUCUGGGAAAGAUAUUGUUUCGGUGGGGGAUGGGCUCGCGGCCUAUCAGCUUGUUGGUGGGGUGAUGGCCUACCAAGGCGGUGACGGGUAGCCGGCCUGAGAGGGUGGACGGUCACACUGGGACUGGGACACGGCCCAGACUCCUACGGGAGGCAGCAGGGGGGAAUAUUGCACAAUGGGCGCAAGCCUGAUGCAGCGACGCCGCGUGAGGGAUGGAGGCCUUCGGGUUGUGAACCUCUUUCGCCAGUGAAGCAGGCCUGCCUCGUUUGUGGGUGGGUUGACGGUAGCUGGAUAAGAAGCGCCGGCUAACUACGUG